GAUGGACCCGCGGUGCAUUAGCUAGUUGGUGAGGUAACGGCUCACCAAGGCAACGAUGCAUAGCCGACCUGAGAGGGUGAUCGGCCACACUGGGACUGAGACACGGCCCAGACUCCUACGGGAGGCAGCAGUAGGGAAUCUUCGGCAAUGGACGAAAGUCUGACCGAGCAACGCCGCGUGAGUGAAGAAGGUUUUCGGAUCGUAAAACUCUGUUGUUAGAGAAGAACAAGGAUGAGAGUAAAAUGUUCAUCCCUUGACGGUAUCUAACCAGAAAGCCACGGCUAACUACGUGCCAGCAGCCGCGGUAAUACGUAGGUGGCAAGCGUUGUCCGGAUUUAUUGGGCGUAAAGCGAGCGCAGGCGGUUUCUUAAGUCUGAUGUGAAAGCCCCCGGCUCAACCGGGGAGGGUCAUUGGAAACUGGGAGACUUGAGUGCAGAAGAGGAGAGUGGAAUUCCAUGUGUAGCGGUGAAAUGCGUAGAUAUAUGGAGGAACACCAGUGGCGAAGGCGGCUCUCCGGUCUGUAACCGACGCUGAGGCUCGAAAGCGUGGGGAGCGAACAGGAUUAGAUACCCUGGUAGUCCACGC
rnacentral:rRNA from 1 species